CUGGCUUCAACGAUCUAUAUCAACUGCACUAUAUUGCAGACGGAGAGCUUUUGAAGUAUGACUUCGGCUGAUGAGUAAAGGUAUUGUCCAUCAGCUCUGUGAGGUGAAUACUUUCAGCUGGAUAGAGCAAUCACUACGAAGACCAGAUCAGCUGGGGCCAAGUGGUUUUAGGAUUUGUUUCCUAUCAACCCUAUCCCAUUAUAAAUUAACUUUGGAUUGAGUUUAUGCUCUUGGUCGUGAUCUCUUAAUAGUCUGCAGGUUGGAAUUGGCAGAGUGUACUUAAGCCCUACCCCUAACACAUGCCUUGUAAAUCAUAGACCACGUCUGGAGGGAAGGGAAGCAGGUACGAAGCAUCUGGCUGCUCCAGUUUUAUCUUUGCUAAAACAAGUGUUAGAUUGUUUUUUCUUCUUCACUCGGUAGCAAUGCUCAUUAAUUUGGUUCCCCUCUUCGCCGCUGCAUCGUGCCAGAACUUCAGUUUGUUGUAUUAUCUUCAGUAUACUGCUCCCACUGCACUGAUUUGGAUGCCCUGGAAAUAGCAGCUGUGCCUAACUUGGUGCCAAUUGCAGCAAAGGCCAGUCUCAAAUACAGGUGGAGAAGGCACUGGUGGUGGCUUAAAGCACUCAGAUGAGCAAGGACAGGA